rnacentral:rRNA from 1 species
AUUGAACGCUGGCGGCAGGCUUAACACAUGCAAGUCGAGCGAGCGGCGGACGGGUGAGUAAUGUCUGGGAAACUGCCUGAUGGAGGGGGAUAACUACUGGAAACGGUAGCUAAUACCGCAUACCAUCAGAUGUGCCCAGAUGGGAUUAGCUAGUAGGUGGGGUAAUGGCUCACCUAGGCGACGAUCCCUAGCUGGUCUGAGAGGAUGAACAGCCACAUUGGAACUGAGACACGGUCCAGACUCCUACGGGAGGCAGCAGUGGGGAAUGUUGGACAAUGGGGGAAACCCUGAUCCAGCCAUCCCGCGUGUGCGAUGAAGGCCUUCGGGUUGUAAAGCACUUUCAGCGAGGAGGCGUUACUCGCAGAAGAAGCACCGGCUAACUCCGUGCCAGCAGCCGCGGUAAUAC